rnacentral:rRNA from 1 species
UACGAAGGGGGCUAGCGCUGUUCGGAAUCACUGGGCGUAAAGCGCACGCAGGCGGAUCGAUAAGUCGGGGGUGAAAGCCCGGGGCUCAACCUCGGAAUUGCCUUCGAUACUGUCGGUCUCGAGUCCGGGAGAGGUGAGUGGAAUUCCUAGUGUAGAGGUGAAAUUCGUAGAUAUUAGGAAGAACACCAGUGGCGAAGGCGGCUCAGUCGCCCGGUACUGACGCUCAGGUGCGAAAGCGUGGGGAGCAAACAGG